CAGCAGUCGCCGCGGUAAUACGUAGGGUGCGAGCGUUAAUCGGAAUUACUGGGCGUAAAGCGUGCGCAGGCGGUUUUGUAAGACAGGCGUGAAAUCCCCGGGCUCAACCUGGGAAUGGCGCUUGUGACUGCAAAGCUAGAGUGCGGCAGAGGGGGAUGGAAUUCCGCGUGUAGCAGUGAAAUGCGUAGAUAUGCGGAGGAACACCGAUGGCGAAGGCAAUCCCCUGGGCCUGCACUGACGCUCAUGCACGAAAGCGUGGGGAGCAAACAGGAUUAGAUACCCCCGUAGUCCCUGUCUCUUAUAC
rnacentral:rRNA from 1 species